UACGAAGGGGGGCUAGCGUUGCUCGGAAUCACUGGGCGUAAAGCGUACGUAGGCGGAUUGUUAAGUCAGGGGUGAAAUCCUGGAGCUCAACUCCAGAACUGCCUUUGAUACUGGCAAUCUCGAGUCCGGGAGAGGUGAGUGGAACUGCGAGUGUAGAGGUGAAAUUCGUAGAUAUUCGCAAGAACACCAGUGGCGAAGGCGGCUCACUGGCCCGAUACUGACGCUGAGGCACGAAAGCGUGGGGAGCAAACAGGG
rnacentral:rRNA from 1 species